UUUUUCUGAAAAUAUAUGUUUUGUUUUGACGCAUAUACAGUAAAACUCCGUGUUUUUCCUUCUAAAUUAUUAGAGGAAAUGACGAUUAAUAUAAUUUUGUGAAUCACAAUGUAUGAUUCUAUAAGACACCCCCACCCGCCCCCACCCCACCCCCUCUAUAAUGGGCGGUAAUAAACAUGCGUCAAACUAAUACAAUUUUGAAGGCAUUUAUAUAUUUUUUAUUUUACUAAUUUCAGCACAUAGGUAUCACUACUCCCUGGUGACAAAAUCCUGCGCGUACGGAAUUGGAACGCGUCAUUCAGGGGAAUCUCAAAACAUCGAGUCGGAUUCGAGUUCGAGUUCGAGUUAAACCUCGAGUUACUUAUACACUGGCGUUUCCGAAUGUUCUGGUAAUUUCCGAACAACUCCGAUUCAUAUUUGCUUCUUCGCAACUUCAAACACGUGUUAUUACGUUUAUAAAUAUGGAAAAUGAAACGUAGCAAUGUAAAUUUACUUUAUUAUAAAUCGUUUUUAUAAUGCA
rnacentral:lncRNA from 1 species